ACAAGGCCAUGGUUAACUAGAAGUUCCCUCGAGUUUAAAUUAUUUGAUCUGUGAAAGGCAAGCUAGGUGGUUAUUGAGAUUAAAUGACUGAAUCCAUUGUUCUCUCUUUCAGAUGAUCUAAUGAUUCACCAGCGUUCUUUCAGAGGAUACUUGUGGAUUAGACAGAUUCGUGAGAUUCACUAAUGUAACCAGAUCUUGAGGUUUUACUCUCAAAACCAUGUUCAUAUGGUAUGGAUUAUGGCCCCGAAUUUACUCUGCAGAGCAGGAAUUUUAAUAUAUUUCAAAUUUCUCUCGUUCAAGAUGGCGCAAAGUUACUAUUAAUACCAGCAGCAUUACUUGAUUAGUUUGCUUGACUAUGAAUGUGUUACUAUAUGGCAUGGUGGGUUCCUUUUCUUGUAUAAUUAUUGUCAGAUUGUAGUUUUAAGUGGACUAUAUACAUAAUAGUGUGACUUUAUAAGCCAUCUUUGUAGUGUUCCCUGUUUCUGGUAUGGUUUAAAUUUCUGUAUGUGCUCGACUGUUAUAGCCUUAUAGUACAUUAACAUACUUCUUAAGAGCAUGUUUGGUUGGACUUAUAAGUUGUUUUUCUAGAAGUUCUGUUAGUCAACUUUGAAAAUCUUGUUUGCAAAAUAAGUGAGUUAAUUUGACUCGCUGUUAAGCACAACUAAACAUGCUAUGAAGUUUUGUUUCUGAUAAGUUUGGAGCUGGUUACUCGAAUCUUUUGUCAUCGGUAGGUUCUCUUCAUUAGUAGAUUUACUGAGAGACAUAUGGAGACACUAAUGGUAAUUAGUUGCUUUCAGUUGUUUGAGCAUUGGAAAAAUGCUAUGACUUUCUGUUGUGCAAUAAUGUGUUAUAUGCAACUGCGUACCAAACACGUCUCUUUCUGUUUAUAGUCUCGUUUUACUUUAAUUGUAAUUGUACAAUGCAGUUUUGGCUUGUUCGAUUUUCAUUUUCGAGUAUUUACAUAUUUGAGAUCACUUUUCUCCAUAUCAGUGGACAAAUAAGAGGUUUCAGUGUCUAUUUG
rnacentral:lncRNA from 1 species